rnacentral:rRNA from 1 species
CCUACGGGAGGCAGCAGUGGGGAAUAUUGGACAAUGGGGGCAACCCUGAUCCAGCCAUGCCGCGUGUGUGAAGAAGGCCCUCGGGUUGAAAAGCACUUUCAGUGAGGAAGAACGCCUGGUGGUUAAUACCCAUCAGGAAAGACAUCACUCACAGAAGAAGCACCGGCUAACUCCGUGCCAGCAGCCGCGGUAAUACGGAGGGUGCGAGCGUUAAUCGGAAUUACUGGGCGUAAAGCGCGCGUAGGUGGCUUGAUAAGCCGGUUGUGAAAGCCCCGGGCUCAACCUGGGAACGGCAUCCGGAACUGUCAAGCUAGAGUGCAGGAGAGGAAGGUAGAAUUCCCGGUGUAGCGGUGAAAUGCGUAGAGAUCGGGAGGAAUACCAGUGGCGAAGGCGGCCUUCUGGACUGACACUGACACUGAGGUGCGAAAGCGUGGGUAGCAAACAGGAUUAGAUACCCGUGUAGUC